rnacentral:rRNA from 1 species
AUGGUGAUGCUCCCUGCUCUCAAGGCCUUAACUGUCUUGUUUGUGCUUGCAGUUCUUGCUGCAGGUCAGGCAGAAGGGCGACAUCAUCAGCUUAAUUGUCCUUCUUUCUCGUGCGGCCCUCUUGGAAAUGUGUCGUCCCCAUUUCGACAGGCAAGUGAUCCACCUGGGUGCGGUUAUCAAUCUUACGAGCUAGUUUGCAGUGAUACUAAGGCUACAAUUAGCAUCGACAACGCAACAUACUAUGUGUCUGCCAUCAACUACAUCAUUCAUACCUUCUGGGUCAUCGAUGCCGACUUGGAUUUAUACAACAACUGCCCUCUACCUCGUUGGAAGCGGAACUGGCGCCCUGUUGAACCCAUAAGGAUAAUCCGACGCCAAUGGGUUCACAGCAAGGUAGUCGAAUUAGCCCCCGCAACACCUUAUCAGGCUAACUUUGUUAAUUGUUCUCAGGAAGUAAAGGACAACGGUAUGUACAUGCCUGUUGCUUGCCUGAGCAACAGCCAUUCUUUUGUUUAUGUGUUAACUAGCCUAAGAUCCGACAGUAUGGAGAAUCUCGAGCCUUGUUGCGGUUUUCUGGCCAUGACUCCACUAGAUGGCCAGGAGACUCGGAGCACUGUGCCAUUAGAGAAUGUGAGCUAUGCAGAUGUUGUAAAAUUUAUGAAGUAUGGGUUCAGUGUUGGAUUUCCUUCCAAACGUCGUGGGUAUGGAAAUUUCAAGGAAUGCCUGAUGGACUCAAUGCCCUCAUCCCCUAAAGAUUGGAUUCUGAGCAUUCUUAUGGUCGAUGAAAUUUUCUUGGGUUGCGCAAUUGUUGAAGUUCCCUUACCCAUUGGAAUAUGCUUGUAUAUAAUACAGGUGGCCUCGCCGUUUUUCAAGUUGUUUGCUGCCCUAUGCAGGUUCGUGUUGGCACCGUUGGUGGUAUUGAUCUUCCUUACCUACAAGUACUGGAAAACAAGGAUCACAAUUGAUGCUGUUGAGAAGUUCCUACUGAUGCAACAAAUGAUCAGCCCAUCGAGGUAUGCCUAUACAGACAUUGUUGCAGUCACAAGCCAUUUCAGAAACAAGCUAGGCCAAGGUGGCUACGGCUCCGUGUAUGAGGGUGUGCUCCCAGGCGAUGUCCAUGUGGCUGUCAAAUUGCUGGAGGGAAACUCUAACUGCAAUGGAGAAGAUUUCAUCAAUGAGGUCUCCACCAUCGGCAGGAUCCACCAUGUCAAUGUGGUCCAUCUUGUGGGGUUCUGCUCAGAGGAAAUGAGAAGGGCCCUGGUUUAUGAGUACAUGCCUGCUGGUUCUCUCGACAAGUACAUCUUCUCACCAGAAAGCGAGAAGACCUUCUCCUGGGAUAAGCUCAAUGAGAUUGCUUUGGGCAUUGCUCGAGGGAUCAACUACCUGCAUCAGGGACGUGAGAUGCAGAUUAUACACUUUGACAUCAAGCCGCACAACAUCUUGCUCGAUAGCAAUUUUGUCCCAAAAGUUGCUGAUUUCGGACUCGCCAAACUGUACCCAAGGGACGAGAGUUUUGUGCCAUCGAGAGCCCUACGGGGAACAAUUGGGUACAUAGCUCCUGAGAUGAUAUCUAGGAGCUUUGGCCUCAUAUCGAGCAAGUCUGAUGUUUACAGCUUUGGGAUGCUGCUGCUGGAGAUGGCUGGAGGAAGAAGGAAUGCCGAUCCAAAUGCAGCAAACUCAAGCCAGUCUUACUACCCAUCAUGGGUGUAUGACAGACUAGCUGAACAAGAAGUGCGUGAGAUUUCUCCCGCUAACGACAUGCACGAGUUGGAGAAGAAGUUGUGCAUUGUUGGAUUAUGGUGCAUCCAGAUGAGGUCCCAAGAUCGACCGACAAUGGGGGAGGUGAUAGAGAUGCUGGAAGGCGGCGUUGAUGGCUUGCAGAUGCCUUCUCGGCCGUUCUUCUGUGACGAAGGACACAUCCAUAUAGAGGAUUCUUAUCAUUUGCCAUCCGAGUUCACUGAAAUCUCCGAGGAGGACGGGUGA